GCGCGGCCCGCGGUGGCUGGCACCGUCCCCCGGCUAGUGAGACUGCCUCCUGGCUCCACCUGGCUUCCCUGAAGCUGCUUCUCCCUCUUGCGGUCGCUGGCGAGGAGGAGUCAUGUUCCCACACAUAGAACGGGUUCAGAGUGUACUAGAUUGGAUGCAGCUGAAAGAGCUAAAAGAAACUGAAGCUUGGAGAGGUUACAAGCACUUAUCAUUUAUUGAAAAGAUCUGACUUCCAAAGCAAGGGAGACAGAAGCAAAAUUAACCAAAUGGGACUACAUCAAACUAAAAAGCUUCUGCACAGUGAAGGAAACCAUCAUCAAAAUGAAAAGGCAACCUACUGAAUGGGAGAAG